GAUGAACGCUGGCGGCGUGCCUAAUACAUGCAAGUCGAGCGAACGGACGAGGAGCUUGCUUCUCUGAUGUUAGCGGCGGACGGGUGAUUCACACGUGGAUAACCUACCUAUAAGACUGGGAUAACUUCGGGAAACCGGAGCUAAUACCGGAUAAUAUUUUGAACCGCAUGGUUCAAAAGUGAAAGACGGUCUUGCUGUCACUUAUAGAUGGAUCCGCGCUGCAUUAGCUAGUUGGUAAGGUAACGGCUUACCAAGGCAACGAUGCAUAGCCGACCUGAGAGGGUGAUCGGCCACACUGGAAGUGAGACACGGUCCAGACACCGACGGGAGGAAGCAGUAGGGAAUCUUCCGCAAUGGGCGAAAGCCUGACGGUGCAACGCGGGGUGAGUGAUGAAGGUCUUCGGAUCGUAAAACUCUGUUAUUAGGGAAGAACAUAUGUGUAAGUAACUGUGCACAUCUUGACGGUACCUAAUCAGAAAGCCACGGCUAACUACGUG
rnacentral:rRNA from 1 species